rnacentral:rRNA from 1 species
UAAUACGAAGGGGGCUAGCGUUGUUCGGAUUUACUGGGCGUAAAGGGCACGUAGGCGGUCUAUUAAGUCAGUGGUGAAAUCCCGAGGCUCAACCUCGGAACUGCCUUUGAUACUGAUAGACUCAGAGCAUGAUAGAGGGUAACGGAAUUCCCAGUGUAGAGGUGAAAUUCGUAGAUAUUGGGAGGAACACCGGUUGCGAAGGCGGUUACCUGGAUCAUUGCUGACGCUAAGGUGCGAAAGCGUGGGGAGCGAACAGGAUUAGAUACCCUGGUCGUCCACGCCCUAAACGAUGAGUGCUCGUUGUUGAGAUCAUUUAUGAUCCCAGUGACUUAGCUAACGCGUUAAGCACUCCGCCUGGGGAGUACGGUCGCAAGAUUA